rnacentral:rRNA from 1 species
CAACGGGAGGUAACCUGCCCCUAAACUCUGGAAAUAAGCCGGGGAAACUGGGUCUUAAUACCCGAAAUAGGAGCGCCUACCGCAUGGUUGGGUGUUGGAAAGAAUUAUUCGGUUUGGGAUGAACUCGCGGCCUAUCAGCUUGGUUGGUGAGGGUAAUGGCUCACCAAGGCGACGACGGGUAGCCGGCCUGAGAGGGUGACCGGCCACACUGGGACUGAGACACGGCCCAGACUCCUACGGGAGGCAGCAGUGGGGAAUAUUGCACAAUGGGCGCAAGCCUGAUGCAGCGACGCCGCGUGAGGGAUGACGGCCUUCGGGUUGUAAACCUCUUUCAGUAGGGAAGAAGCGAAAGUUGACGGUACCUGCAGAAGAAGCACCGGCUAACUACGUGCCAGCAGCCGCGGUAAUACGUAGGGUGCGAGCGUUAUCCGGAAUUAUUGGGCGUAAAGAGCUCGUAGGCGGUUUGUCGCGUCUGUCGUGAAAGUCCGGGGCUUAACCCCGGAUCUGCGGUGGGUACGGGCAGACUAGAGUGCAGUAGGGGAGACUGGAAUUCCUGGUGUAGCGGUGGAAUGCGCAGAUAUCAGGAGGAACAC